UACAGAGGGUGCAAGCGUUAAUCGGAUUUACUGGGCGUAAAGCGUGUGUAGGUGGCCGCGUAAGUCGGUUGUGAAAUCCCUGGGCUUAACCUGGGGAUUGCAGCCGAUACUGCGUGGCUCGAGUUCGGUAGAGGGCAGCAGAAUUCCCGGUGUAGCGGUGAAAUGCGUAGAUAUCGGGAGGAAUACCGAUGGCGAAGGCAACUGCCCUGGGCCUGAACUGACACUGUGGACACGAAAGCGUGGGUAGCAAACAGGA
rnacentral:rRNA from 1 species